rnacentral:rRNA from 1 species
UACGUAGGUGGCAAGCGUUACUCGGAAUUACUAGGCGUAAAGCGCAGGUAGGCGGUUGGGCAAGUCCGUAAUGAAAUCUCCCGGCUUAACUGGGAGGGGUUUAGGGAUACUGCCUGACUCGAGUGUGGUAGAGGUAACUGGAAUUCCCGGUGUAGCGGUGAAAUGCGUAGAGAUCGGGAGGAACACCUAUGGCGAAAGCAGGUUACUGGACCAAUACUGACGCUGAGCUGCGAAAGCUAGGGGAGCAAACAGG